UACGGGGGGGGCAAGCGUUGUUCGGAAUUACUGGGCGUAAAGGGCGCGUAGGCGGCCUUCUAAGUCAGACGUGAAAUCCCUCGGCUCAACCGAGGAACUGCGUCUGAUACUGGAAGGCUUGAAUCCGGGAGAGGGAUGUGGAAUUCCAGGUGUAGCGGUGAAAUGCGUAGAUAUCUGGAGGAACACCGGUGGCGAAGGCGGCAUCCUGGACCGGUAUUGACGCUGAGGCGCGAAAGCUAGGGGAGCAAACGGG
rnacentral:rRNA from 1 species